rnacentral:rRNA from 1 species
AUUGAACGCUGGCGGCAUGCCUUACACAUGCAAGUCGAACGGCAGCACGGAGCUUGCUCUGGUGGCGAGUGGCGAACGGGUGAGUAAUAUAUCGGAACGUACCCAAGAGUGGGGGAUAACGUAGCGAAAGUUACGCUAAUACCGCAUACGAUCUAAGGAUGAGAGUGGGGGAUCGCAAGACCUCAUGCUCCUGGAGCGGCCGAUAUCUGAUUAGCUAGUUGGUGAGGUAAAGGCUCACCAAGGCAUCGAUCAGUAGCUGGUCUGAGAGGACGACCAGCCACACUGGAACUGAGACACGGUCCAGACUCCUACGGGAGGCAGCAGUGGGGGAUUUUGGACAAUGGGGGCAACCCUGAUCCAGCAAUGCCGCGUGAGUGAAGAAGGCCUUCGGGUUGUAAAGCUCUUUUGUCAGGGAAGAAACGGUGAAGGCUAAUAUCCUUUGCUAAUGACGGUACCUGAAGAAUAAGCACCGGCUAACUACGUGCCAGCAGCCGCAGUAAGAC